GGCCGUGAGUACCGGUUGUGACGCUAGCCAUCCUUCGGGAGAGCGCGCGGUGCUUAACGGCGCUGCGCGCCUCUCGAUCCUUUACUUUGAACAAAUUAGAGUGUUUAAAGCAGGCUAAUGCCUUGAAUACCUUAGCAUGGAAUAAUAAGAUAGGACUUUUGGCCUAUUUUGUUGGUCUUUAGGACAAGAGUAAUGAUUGAUAGGGACAGUUGGGGGUGCUAGUAUUGAAUGGCCAGAGGUGAAAUUCUUGGAUUCAUUCAAGACUAACUAAUGCGAAAGCAUUCACCAAGGAUGUCUUCUUUAAUCAAGAACGAAAGUUGGGGGAUCAUGGUCGCAAGGCUGAAACUUAAAGGAAUUGACGGAAGGGCACCACCAGGAGUGGAAGCUGCGGCUUAAUUUGACUCAACACGGGAAAACUUACCAGGUCCGGACAUAGCAAGGAUUGACAGAUUGAAGAUCUUUCUAGAUUCUGUGGGUGGUGGUGCAAGGGCGAAUUCCACAGUGGAUAUCAAG
rnacentral:rRNA from 1 species